GGACCGAACCCGCAACCUCAUGGUUCCUAGUCGGAUUCGUUAACCACUGCGCCACGACGGGAACUCCCUUUUGUUUCUUAAAUCCAAUUUUUUUAUAGUAUCUGCAAGCCUUUUGAGCUGACUAGGGGAAGCUUUGGGCUUGGAAAAGGGUAGGUGGGCUUUGAAUUAUUUCUGGACCACAUUUUGAUCUUGUAAAGGCUAGAACUGUAAGGCAAAUACAAUUGUUUUAAAUUUCUCAGUGAAUUGGGACCCAACUGAAUGCUGUGAAGGUUGACCCAUCCAUUCCACUACAUUAUUUUUUUCAAUUUGCUUCUUUAUAUGAGGGAGAAGAUCCUCAAUGAAAAUAGAAAUCAGAAUAUUCCUGUUUCAGAUUUAGAGCUAUAUGUCUUUGGGAUGUUUUAAUACAUCCUUCCAGAAAGGCUUCAUUUUUGUUUUUCCUUCCUUCUGAGUACAUUUCAUUGUAGCUGAGCGGGGAGAACUCCUGAAAAGUUCCUAAUGAGCCCUGAAUAUCAGCUUCCAAUUUGGCCCAUUCUGACCACAGAACUACUUAGAAAAACCUACUUACAAAUAUCUUGUCAGGUCCCGGUCCCAUACUGGCCAUAUUAAACAAGUAUUGAUACAAGAGAUGUCCCCAAAGAGGGACCCUGCCACCCCAACAUCCACAGCCUCUCUCAGAGAUGGCCAACUGGAAGAAAGAUAUAGACAUUCCCAUGAGAGCUGGCAAAAGUUGGCAGAACCCUAGCCGCCAACGAAGGGCAGCCUACAUUUCCAUCUGGCCACAGCUUGGGGCCCUAACCUGAUGGCAGCCAGGCUAAGUUCUCAGCACACAGGACAGACAAGAAUAGGUGAGGAAAGAUUCACCAACCAGUGGGUACCCAAAACCAAGUUCACGAGAGCCUAAAUCUGCACAUUAAAAGACAACAUGGCAUUUCAUCUUUCUCUCUCAGCCAGGCACCACAGACAGAGAUCUGAGACAGAUGACUUUGGUAAGAAUUUCCACCCUUUUCCCAGCUUCUGCCAGUUUUCCCAGGAUCCCUUCUCCAGGCCCUGGAAUGGGUAGGUGGGCCCAGGGGGUCUCUCCUGGUCCUCAGAAACUGUAAAGGAGAAAAACUAAUUUCCCCUCCACCCUUUAUGUUGUGAGCCACACGGGAAGUCCUCCCCUCCACCCUUUAUGAUGAGUGCUUGGCCAAGAUCCCUUUUUCUCUAGGGCAUGUCCGAGAUGGAUAAGCUUAUUGCUUAGGAAAAAACCCAGUUUUCCUAUCCCCGUUUGGGGAAAAAUCCAGUUCUUUCCUGCCAUGUGUUUCUCCCCUGGGAGUCUCUAAAGAGCACUUUCCUUCUAAAACUUCUGGUCACCAAAGCUGUGGACACUCUCCCCCACACUGAGAAGCUGUCUGAGAUAGCAGCUGAGUGUCCUGCCAUUUAUAAGUGACACUACGCAUGCAGAGAGAGUGUCAGAUCCCCGAAGUUAAGGGCUCCGUCCCAUAAGACUGUUCCCCACGCUGCACCCGCUGCACUCUUCAGAUGCCAGCGGCACCUGUGCUCAUGACCAACUGCCUGUACAUCGGGGGUUCCUACAACCCCCUCCUUGAGUUUGAUGAGAUUAACUGGCUAGAGCAGGUCAUACACCCAGGGAAAUAUUUGCUUAUGUUUAUCAAUUUAUCGAAGGAGAUGAUAAAGAAUAUAGAACAGCUCUCUGAAGAGAUAGCACAGAGCAAGGUCUGUGAGGGUCCCAAGUGCGGAAUCUUCUGUUCCCCUGGAGUUGGGGUGCAUCACCCUGCAGGUGUAGAUGGUUCCACCACCUGGAAAUUCUGUGGGGCCCCUCCUAUUAUGAUUUAUGGUGGCUUUUUCACAUAAGGGCAUGAUCCAUUAGGGACUCUGUUUCUAGACCCUCUCUGAUGGCUGAGAAUCCCAAGCUAUUAAUCCUGGCUUGGUCUUUCUGGUGAUCAGCCCCAUCUGGGAGUCCACCUAACACUGCCUCGCUAGACAGAAAGAUGCUCCUGGUGUUCCUAUUACUUAACUUUACAAGGGUUUAGGAGUUCUGUGUUAGGGACCGGGUCAAAGAUAGGUCUUAGAACAAGGGUUCGUACUAUUCUUACCACAUAGGAAUUUAUAAGAGUUUUAGGAGCCCAGUGCCAGGAACCAUGGUCAGAGAACAAUGUGUAAGUAGCUCAUACCUACUCUAGGUCGAAAAGUUCCCUAUGGCCACUCUAACUCAAAAUUACCUUUGAUAAGUUUAAUCUGCUCUUUCAGGCUUAAAACAACAUUGGACUCACCUGAGCCCUCACAGGGGCUCUUCUCUAGCUGAAGUCAGAUCCACUCUGAUGCCAGACCGGAUCCUUAGGACGUCAGACGUCAGACGUCAGACGUCCCACGUUGGCAGGUUUCUAGAGUCAGGCCAGAAAAAGCAAUGCGCACAGGCAGGAAAAGCUCCUAAGGCAACAGCUGCGCAUCCAGGACCCAGGACUGAGAGCAUCAGUCAGGUACCUCCAGAGGCAGCAGGAGAGCAGUGAGGACGAGGGACCCGGCAGACCCCUCUGAUCCCCUUGAGAAAGUGCCCGAGCUAGUCUUCUGGAGGAUGAGCAGCUCCAUGAAGGUGGACGAUCGCUUAGAGCCAGACAGCCCCUGGAAAGAGAGAUGCCUCGCUGACCUGCACCACUGCAAACAGGAAGAAAACUAUCAUAAAAUCCUGGGCUCUACACAUCCUGAAGUCUCCCUACUUGGCAGUAACGUGAUUUCAUCUUUUAUCUACACCCCUGGCUGGACCCACCAUUCUGGGCAUGAUAACCUGAAAUCUCAUCUUCUAGCCUCACAGGCUAGACACCACCCACAGUCCUUGGUUCCUAGCCGCUUCCAUCUUCACAGCCAGCAACUAAGCAGCUGGUGCCCUCUGUUACCGAGCUAAACAUACAUCUGGCCCCAAAGUCAAAGAAAAUGAAAGACGAUCCAGUGGAAGGAGAACAACUACAGGUCUGGUUGGUGUCCCAUUCACAGAAAGACUCAAAUUCCCUCUAGCUUUCACGUAUCCCACACAUUUGGAUAAAGUGUGUUUCAUUUUCAUUUCAUUCAGUUUUACUUGCUCCUGUGAUUUCUUCUUUGACCAUUUGAGAAGUUUCUUUUUUAAUCUCCAAGUAUUUGGAGUUUUCCAGCUAUCUGUUACUGAUUUCUCAUUUAAUUCCAUCUUGUGCAGAGAGCAGAUAUGGCAUGGCUUCUGAUCUUGCGCAUUUGUGAAGGUGUGUUCUGGCCCAGAAUGAGGUCAGUCUUGGUGCACGUUCCCUGUGAGCUUGAGAAGAAUGUGAAAUCUAGAGUUGGAUGAAGUCCUCUGUAGACUACAUUCCAACCAUUUGCUGGAUGUUGUGUGGAGUUUACGAUGUCCUUACUCAUCUUCCGCCUGCUGGAUCUGUCCGUGUCUGAGACAGGAGUGCCGAAGUCUCCAACUCUAACCGUAGAUUCAUCUCUUUUUCCUUGCAGCUCUAUCCAUUUUUGCCUCACGUAGUUUGAUGUUCUGUUGUGGGCGCAUACACAUGGAAAAUUGCUAUCUUCUUCAUCAUGUGAUAUCACUUCGUCCCCAUCACUUCCCUCGCUUUGAAGUAUGCUCUGCCUGAAAUUAAUAUAGCUACUCCUGCCUUCUUUUGAUUAGUAUAACUUUCUCUAUCCACUUACUUUUCCCCUGCAUAUAAUCUAAUUUAUAUUAAAAUGGGUUUCUUACAGACAACAUAUAGUCAAAUCUUGUUUUUUGACCCAGUCUGACAGUUUGUCUUUUGAAGAAUGUGUUUAGACCAUUGACAUUUAAAGUCAUUAUGAGAUAGUUGGAUAACAUGUACUGUAUUUGUUACUCUUUUCUAUGUGUUAUCCUAUACUGUGUUCCUGUUUGGGGCUUCCAUUCUUUCUCUUUCUUCUGUGGUUUCAACUGAGAAUUUUAUAUCAUUUCAUCUUUUCAGUUAUACUACUUCUUUUUUUAACUUUAGAGGGUGCCUUUGAGUUUCCAAUAUACAUUUACAAAACCCAUUUCCACUUUCAGAUAACUCUAUGCACUUCACAAGUAGUGUACCUUAUAAUGACAAAAUAACCUUAAUUCUUCCUCCCUUUCCUUUGUCUUGGUGAUAUAAUUCAUUUCAUUUAUACAUAACUAUACACAACAUAUGCAUAUAAGCAUAUAUCGUCAAAUACAUUGUUGGCAUUAUUUUGAACACAUUACCUUUUACCGUAAAUUGAUUUAGGAAAAUCAAGUUUUCAUUUUGCCAUCAAUGAUUCCUCCUCUGAUGCUUUUCCUUUCUGAUCUGAUUUUUUACUUUUCUCUGUAGAGCAUCCUUUACCAUUUCUUACAAAGCAGGUAUAAUGGCAACGAAUUCACUCCGUUUCUGUUUGUCUGGGAAAGUAUUUCUUACUCUCCUUUGAAGGAUCGUUUCACAGGGAAUAGAAUUCUAGGGUGUUGGUUACGUUUUCUUUCACCAUCUUACUAUUUCACUCCCUCUCCUCUUACUUGUGUAGUUUCUAAGAAGCUUGAUAUAAUUUUUUCUUUUUCGUCUUCUCCAGAUGGCCUUUUUUACAAGAUUUUUCUUUAUAUUAGAUUAUCUGAAGUUUGUAGGUGUUCUGCCUUGGUGUAAAAAUUUUUUUUUACAUGUAUCCUUCUUGGUGUCCCCUGAACUUCCUGAAUCUGUGGUUUGGUGUAUGACAAUAAUUUAUGGAAAAUUUCAGGCAUUAUUGAUUCAAAAACUUCCUCUGUUCCUAUCUUACAUCUUCUAGUGUUCCCAUUAUGCAUAUGUUAAAACUUUUGCAUUUCUGUGUAUCGCUUCUUUUUCUUUGUUGUUUAUUUUUCCUCUUGGCUUUUAAGUUUUGGAAGCGUCUGUCCAAGUUCAGAGGCUCUUUACUCAGUUUUGUCCAGUCUGAUAAUGAUCCCAUAGAAGACAUUCUUCAUUUCUAGUAGUUACUGGUCUUCCGCAUCUUUUUGAUUCUUUCUUUGAAUUUCCAUCUCUCUGCUUACAUCGUCCACCUGUUUUUGCAUGCUUUCUCUUCUAUCCAUUAACACCCUUAGCAUAUGAAUCACUGUUCUUUGGAAUUCCCCAUCUGAUGACUCUAACAUCUCUGAUACACCUGGUCUGGUUCUAUUGCUUGCUCUGUUUCUUCAAACAGUGUUUUUUACCUUUUAGUAUUCCUUGAAAUUUUUUCUUCAUAUCCAGGCAUGAGGUACUAGGUAAAACGUAUCCAGAGCUGGUUCCAGCAUAGGUUUAUUUUUGUGGAUUUCUAUUCUGUUAAGUUGUGAUUUUCUAUUUACAUGUAUCUUCAAUUUUGGUGCAGCAUUUUGCUCUGUGACUUCACCUCUCAGACAGAUCUAAGGUGAGUUAUUGAUUUUUUUUUUUUUUUUUGGUUUGUUCAUUUUUCUUAACUUACUGUUAAAACAAAGUAAAGACUUCCAAGCUCCUAACAAGUAGGACUGGAAAUUGAACUCUUUAUUACAAGGUAUUAAAAAAUAAUUCAGAGGCCAUACUCUAACAAGGAAAUUUUUCUAAAAUCUGAGAUUUAAAAAAAAAAAAAUCAGUGAUUUUAUAUCAUUCUUCAAGAGCAGUUUAGUUCAACAUUUUAACUCUCCCAUCCCUCCUAAACAAAAAUUCAUUAAUAUGUUUACCCCCACAAAGGCAUAGAGUGAAAUUGCUGUAGGAGCUAGGGAAUGGAUAUGUAUAGCCUUUUUAAGCUACAAAUGUUUCUUGGAGGUCCUACUAUGACACAGUCUUUUAAGAACCAGACUGCAGUGGCACCAAUUUGAUCUCUGCCCCAGUGCAGUUGAUUCAAGGAUCCAGUGUUGCUGUAGCUGUAGUGUAGUUUACAGUUGCAGCCUGGAUUCAGUCCCUAGCCCAGCAAUUUCCAUAUCCUGUGGGUGCAUUAAAAAGAUGUUUCUUUUCGCUAUGACCAUAAAUAACAACAAAAAGUCAACAGUGGCCUUAAUCAUGAACAUUCCUAUUUUAUGGGCAUUACUGGAAUAAAUAUUGAACUUGAAUGUAUCUUGACUUGUUCAACUUUUCAAUUGAAGAACUAUUGCAUUUAGUGAUUAAAAUUAGAUUCAAAUUAAAAUUAGAAUUUUUCCUUUUUCCUGAUAACACUGUAUAACAUAUGCUUCUCAAAAUUCUAUUAAAGUCAUCAGUGAAGGAACCAUUGAGACUACAAGAGAGCUCACUUAAUUGAGAAACAAGGAGAUUGGUUAGUCAAGAAAGAAAUGGUGGAGUAAGAACACCAUGAGCUCACCUCCUGCUACAGGCACAGUGAAAUUAGAACUAUUUAUGGAGGAACUGAGCAGUAAAGAUCUUCUUCAACUAAAGAUACAAAGGCAGGUAGGAGGGGUGGAGUCACAGUAUAGUCAAGACCCACAUGCCUGGAUGGGCAAUGCAGAAAUGGGAGGAUAAUUGCUACUGCAGGGGUUCUCCCCAAAGAGCAACAGUCCAAGCCCCACAUUGAGCUCCCCAGCCCCAAGGUCCUGCACCAGGAAGAUGAGCCCUAGAACAUUUGACUUUGAAGGCCAUUAGGGCUCAUUUUUAGGAGAGCCAGAGGGCAGUGGGAAAUAGCCCAUUCCCAGAGGGCACACACAAAAUCUCACAGACUCUGGGACCCAGGGCAGAAGCAGUAAUUAGAAAGGAGCCUGGGUCAGACCCCACCUGCUGAUCUUGGAGAGUUUUCUGGAAAGGAAAGAGGUAAUCAGAGCUCACCCUGUGGACACAGACUCUGACAGCAACCAUUUGGGGGACUUUGUUCAACCAUGUGGACACUGGAGCUGGCAAGUGCUGUUUUAAAAUCCUCCUAACUAACUCCCAAGCACUGAGACUCAGUCCCAUACACCAGCCUAUCAGCUCCAGUACCAUGACACCUCAUGCCAAGUAACUAGCCAGGCCAGGUCACAGUCUCACCCACCAGCAGGCACGCUCCCUUAAGAACCUCUGAGCUCACAUCCACCCCGGGACAGAGCCCUAUCCACCAGAGGACCCCAGCCCAGCUGACUAGAAGCCCAACACCAACUCUGGUAACUUGAACUCCUGAGAGAGCUACCCUGGGACCCAGUUCCACUCACCACAGACCCCACAGCCAGCUGUGUCAGGAACCAGCCCUGAUCACCAACAGGACAGCAUCAGCUCCAGGGCUGUGCAGCCCUAGAUCAUGGGACUUGAGUCCACCCACCAAUGAACCAGGUGCUUUGUGACCCAGUCCUGCCAACCAUCAGCUAGUGGCCUCCACACUAAUCAAGACCUAGAAGCCAACUAGACCAGGGACCAGCUGUGCCCACCAGACCACCUACAGUAGUCAGUCUGCCACAACAGAGGCACCUGCCAUGUAGGAGACACCCCUAAAGCAUAAAGCUCUCAUGAUCAGAGGGGCGGUCCUUCUGAGCCACAUAGGACAUUUCCUACCUAGUCCACUCCUCCAAGAUCAUGAAACAAAACUGGCCUACCUAAUACAUUUAAACAAAAACAGAAAAUUAGGCAAAAUGAGGUGACAGAGGAAUGUGUUCCAAACGAACAAGAUAAAAAACCCCUAAGAAGAACAAAGGGAGGUGGAGAGAAGCAAUCUAUCUGGUGAAGAGUUCAGGGCAGUGAUUAUAAAGAUGCUCAAAGAACUCAGGAGAAGAAGGAAUGGUCACAGUGCAAAACUUAAAGAGGUAGAAAAUAUAGUUGAAUAUAAUAACUGAAAUAAAAAAUACACCAUAAGGAAUCAAAAGGAGAUUAAAUAAUGCAGAGGAAUGAGUCAGUGAGCUGGGAGACAGAAUAGUGGAAAUCACUGAAGCUGAACAGAAAAAAAGAAUAAAGAGAAAUGAGGACAGGUGAAGAGACCUCUGGAAUAACAUUAAGCAUAAUAAAAUUCAUGUUAUUGGAAUACAAGGAGGAGAAGAAUAAGAAAAAGGGGCAGAGAACAUAUUUGGAGACACAGCAGCUGAAAACUUCCCUGAGAAAGGAAACAUAUCCAGGUUCAGGAAUCACUGAGUUCCAAACAGGAUUAACUCAAAGAGGUCCAUACCAAGAUACAUUGUAAUUAAAAUGGCAAAAAUUAAAGAGAAUAUUAAAAGUAGCAAGAGAAAAGCAACAAGUUGCAUACAAGAGAUCUCCCCUAGGGCUAUCAGCUGACUUUUCCCAGAAACUCUGCAGACCAGAAGGGAGUAGCAUGAUAUAUUUAAAGAGACAAAAGGGAAAAACCAGCAACCAAGAACACUCUACCUGACACAGCUUUCACUUAGAGUUGAUGGAGAAAUCAAAAGUUGUACACACAAGCAAAAGCUAAAAGAGUUCAGAACCAUCAAACCAGCUUUAUAAGAAAUGUUGGGGGGAGGGUUCCCAUAGUGGCUCA